GGGGAAUAUUGCACAAUGGGCGAAAGCCUGAUGCAGCAACGCCGCGUGAGUGAUGAAGGUUUUCGGAUCGUAAAACUCUGUUCUAAGGGAAGAUAAUGACGGUACCUUAGGAGAAAGCCCCGGCUAACUACGUGCCAGCAGCCGCGGUAAUACGUAGGGGGCAAGCGUUAUCCGGAAUUACUGGGCGUAAAGGGUGCGUAGGUGGCCUGACAAGUCAGGGGUCAAAGGCAACGGCUCAACCGUUGUAAGCCCUUGAAACUGUCGGGCUUGAGUUCAGGAGAGGAAAGCGGAAUUCCAAGUGUAGCGGUGAAAUGCGUAGAUAUUUGGAGGAACACCAGUGGCGAAGGCGGCUUUCUGGACUGAUACUGACACUGAGGCACGAAAGCGUGGGGAGCAAAC
rnacentral:rRNA from 1 species